rnacentral:rRNA from 1 species
UACGAAGGGGGCUAGCGUUGCUCGGAAUCACUGGGCGUAAAGGGUGCGUAGGCGGGGGUUUAAGUCAGGGGUGAAAUCCUGGAGCUCAACUCCAGAACUGCCUUUGAUACUGAAGAUCUUGAGUUCGGGAGAGGUGAGUGGAACUGCGAGUGUAGAGGUGAAAUUCGUAGAUAUUCGCAAGAACACCAGUGGCGAAGGCGGCUCACUGGCCCGAUACUGACGCUGAGGUGCGAAAGCGUGGGGAGCAAACAGG